AUGAUUCAACCAAACCCAGCAGCUCUGCUCUGUCUUCACUUCGUAAUGAGCCACGUUAACACAGGGAGUCCAGUUGACUACAGGGAUAUUCUGGUACCAAAGGGAGACUCUGUCACGCUCACGUGCAACACAUCAAAAGAAAAUUCAACACAAAUUAUGUGGAAAAAAGACAGAUUUCAUUUUGCUUAUUUAUUCUCAAAUCAUGCGAAUGUUUCAAAUUUCACCUCACACAGACUGAUAAUAGACCCUCACUCACCAUCAGUGCUGAAUAUAUCUAAUGUUCAGUAUGAAGACGCAGGACUUUACACGUGUGAUGUAACUAGUGCUACAGAUGGUGUAAAAAGCAUAAGGUGGAAUUUAACUGUAUUUGAGGAAUCUGAAGGUAGGUACAGUAUCACUGAUUUCUACAGAACAUGUUGAAGCUGAAACUGCAGCUGCUUUAAAUAAUUUCCACCUGCUUUUGUACAGAACUCAGUACUUACACUCCAUUAUGGUGUUCAACACUUGUAGCUGUAGUUCUUCUGAGUGGCUUCAUUUUGUUUGUCUACAUUUACAGGUUAGUCCUUUUUUUGAUAUUUAGAUCUAUAAAAUAUAUUUCUCUUUCAGCCAAAUUACCUUAAACUGUUAGUUCAUCUAAUUUAGAUGAACUGAACUGAUCCAUUCAUAAUUCCAUUUUUUUAAUCAAGCUUUUUUAUAUUGAAUAUUGUAUCUAUCUAUUAGUUUUUCAUACUUCAUGAGGACGUUUUCAGACAACUUGUUUUGUCUGACCACCACAAGCUAAUGUUUACAAAGGAGACGAUUAAAGCAUUAUUCCUCAUUAGAUGAUUAAACCCAGUUUAAACUAACUGAAGGACUUCAACAGCUCUGUGAUGCCAGCUUAAUUGUUGAUCAUGUCUUUAUCUCAGGACAAAAUGUCGGCUCAGGAGGCAGAAUCAGGAACCAAACCAGAACCAGCCAAACCUUCAAUCAGAUGAGGUCAGAACUUUGCUGUCACUAAAUCUGUCACAUUUUAUGGCUUCAUGUUCUUUUUAGAGACUUUUUUUGUUUUUGAUGUCUUACUUUCUGUCUCUACAGCUGCUUGUUUCUCAACCACAGCGUCACAGAGGUCACAGAAACAGCUGCCACUAUGAGAGAAUCAAUUCAUUAUAUAAUUUAUAAUCCCCUCUGUGAAAAAACAAUGUUCCAACAGUAUUUUUCAUUUAAAUUCUUUUUACAUUUCCUAUGUGCUUUCACUUAAUCUAUGUGUAUUAUUGUCCAAACAAGCUUGUAGACAUAAUGUGUAGAAGUUUCUUAAGAAUUAAACAUGUGAAACAUGUUGACGUCUCUUCAUUUCAUUGAGUUCAUCACAACCUGCUGUCAGAAGUCUUACAAGUAUUUAACGACAUGUUGCGCCUUACAGUCACAGUUGUUCACAAAGGUGUUCACCACAGUAAGAGGCGGUUUCCUGAGCUCACUAACAUUUCUAGCACUACCCAACUAUAACUGACUCCUCAAAUGUAAUAACAGCGAAUAGUAUAUCUACUAUUACCAAUAUAGUCUAUCUAUACAGUAUUGGUAAAUACAGUUUUUUUUAACACGGUGCUUUGAUUAAAUGCGGUUUGUUGUAUUUUUUUCUCAUUUUUAAAAAGAGAAACGAGUAGUGCCAGUUUUUUUUAUAAUCACUUAAACAACUCAUAGGCUGCAGACAAAACCUCAGUGUACACAAGCUCCCCCUCCAUUUCAGACACAGCAUUGACCCAUUCUGAAACAGUUCAAUCCACACUACCUAACAAGAGUUCUGCAGCCUGCUGCACACAUGGAGCCGUCUAUGAGGCCCUAGUGAAAGUAAGGGAAGAAAAAGUUAAAUACUGUACUAACCUGUGAGGUAGAACUGGGCUAGUAUUUUAUUGUUUUAACACAAUAUGACUGAUGUCAAUGAGGUCAAUGUAAUCAUAAUGUUUGAAAUAUAUAUGUGCAACACACGACUCACCAACUCUAUCUGCCUCAGUUACCACUGAUCACCUCAAUCAGGUGUGUUCAGUCAAUCAGCAGCUGAAGAAGCUAACUGACACACCUGAUGAAGGUGAUCAGCAAGGAGAGUUGGAAAACCAGCAGGGACACCGGGCCUCACGGACCAGGAAGGCCCACCCCGGAUCUAGAUGCUUUGUAGUGAUGGGUCCGGCAAGACCGAUGCGUUGGUGCAUGCGUCGAGCACAUAGAGCAAAACCUUGUGUCGAGUUAUGAUAGAUGUUCACUUCAUCAACUGUAUCUAAAAAUAUCAAUUUUAAAUUUAAAUGAAGAUAUGAAAUGAUACUAUAUAAAAUGACUUUAUAAAUUAUAUUAUUAUGAAAUUAUAUUAUUGUAUAUAUUAGUCAUCAAAUCAGUGUCAGCUGAGUCUGACUAGGCUGUGUGUAGGGAUUUUUAAAGUCCAGCAGGUGUCAGUAUUCAGUCACACAUUAUCGACACAGUUUCAAUACAGUUUAGCAAUGUGUCGAAACGCCUCUUAAUGCCUCAUCUACCCAUCACUAGUUACAAGCAAUAACAAGCCAGUGCCAUAGCAACCCCUUAGCGGUAUGCAAAGCAUUGCUUUAAGGGGUUGCUAUGACACUGGCUUAUAUAACCAAGCAUUUAAUCAACAUUUGUGUCAAAGGAGCUCAGUUUGCUUACUUUCUGCUGGAAACUUGUAAUUCACAAUGACUACAUGACCGCAGUCUUACAUGAGGAUAAUCACUUAUAAAAGACCUCGCUAUGGACCUCCUCCUUUUCCUGCUAAACCUGAUCUGGACUGUGAAAGGUGCAUGAACAACACUUUACUUUUUAGUGAUAAACUAGAUUAUAGUCGAACGAAGGUCGCGGGAAACGACUUCAAUACUGGAGAACAAGAGCAAUAAAGGCCACAGAGUCAGGUACA
rnacentral:lncRNA from 1 species